rfam:Calypte anna contig3930, whole genome shotgun sequence.
CCAAAGGCUCUUUUCAGAGCCACCCACAUUUUUCUUGAGAGAGCAG